AUCUUAGACAAUGGGGGAAACCCUGAUCUAGCCAUGCCGCGUGAGUGAUGAAGGCCUUAGGGUUGUAAAGCUCUUUCAGCUGGGAAGAUAAUGACGGUACCAGCAGAAGAAGCCCCGGCUAACUCCGUGCCAGCAGCCGCGGUAAUACGGAGGGGGCUAGCGUUGUUCGGAAUUACUGGGCGUAAAGCGCACGUAGGCGGACUGGAAAGUUGGAGGUGAAAUCCUGGGGCUCAACCCCAGAACUGCCUUCAAAACUAUCAGUCUGGAGUUCGAGAGAGGUGAGUGGAAUUCCGAGUGUAGAGGUGAAAUUCGUAGAUAUUCGGAGGAACACCAGUGGCGAAGGCGGCUCACCGGCUCGAUACUGACGCUGAGGUGCGAAAGCGUGGGGAGCAAACAG
rnacentral:rRNA from 1 species